ACCGCUAAACACCCUUACUUGCACUUGCGGAUAGUUUUCUUUAUUCUUUAUUUUUUCUAAGAAGAGAGUAACCUGACAAUUUGAUGUGGGCAACACCAACAUGCAAGGCAAAUGGAAUGAUGCAUUAGAGCAUCUUCAACACAUUGGGUGGAGAGGCAAGUUUCGUGUCUACCUGUGUCUAAGUGUAGCGAAUUAUGGAAUACCAAAGUGAUAGGAUUCUUUCGUCUUUUUUUUUAUAUUUUACUUUCUUUUUUGGUAAAAGGUCGCAGCGCUCAAGCGCUGAGAAUAUAUAAAAGCUACAUCAUUUUCAGCCGUUGGUCUUUUGUAAAUGCCUAAAUCUACUCUAUAGCUGGUGAUCUCUCUCCCUUCGGCGUCGCUUCAUACCCAGCCCCAUCCUACCCUCGCCCCUCCACCGCAAACCUGGCAGCCCAUGUCUACGAAGAAGAAGGAGCGCUUCCGCACCAUUACAGAUGUGGUGGUGGGUGAAGGUGUUGAACAGGUGAAGUGUGAUUUCACCAGUAACAAGCUGACAGUGAUCGGGAAAGCAGACCCAAUGAAGCUUCGGAAGAGGGUAGAGCAGAAGACGAAGAAGAAGGUUGAACUCAUCUUCCCUUUGCACAUGGUAUGGAGGGAUAGGAUUUCUAGGAAAUAGAUCAACGGUUCAUAUUGAUUGAAGUGCUGUUAAUUUCUUAGCGCUUAAGCACUGCUACCACUCACGGAUUCGGCUCGUCUAUAGCGCGGGGUGAGCCAUAUAUUGUCUAGCUCACCACAAAAGCGUGACACCUGGAUUUUAUUGAUCCUACGGUGUGGGUGGCUUAAUCCUUAGGGAAACAUAUAUGUUGGCGAUACACGGUAUCACUUUUUCAUAAUUACAACUUUUCAGAUCGAUGCAAGAUUUUUAAAAUAAAAAAUAGGGUUUUUCUA